CGCAGACUUUAAACGUGAAAGACAAGUGUCAGAAGUUAGCUAAGAUUGUGGAAAUUUUAAGUAUAUAUGUGCCAAGCAUAGAAACCCAACCACCGGGAGGUGGUGGCCUUACAACGAUAGGUCUUUUAGAUUUGGAGUUCUUUUGUUCUCUGGAAAUGUCUAUUUGGCCGUUUCUUAAUAUAGCACACUUUAGGGAUAGUACUUGUAAGUCUGAUGCUGAAUUGGUUGAACAGCUUGUUGAUAACAGACCGCACAGUUGUUGGAAAAAUGGCCUUUUCUGCUCAGCUUGAUCAUGAAGAUAACAUGUUACUUAUUCGACUCUUUGCCAGUUUGUUCUAUCGGGUAAGGAAAUAGGCAUAUCUGAAGGUAUACAAAGAACAUAAAAAAAUUAAUGAAACACUUACACAUGUCCACCAAGAUUCAAAACAUGUUGAUUUGCAUGGGAUGGACAGCAUUAGAAAAGCAUUAUUGUGCACUGGUGUGAGCAUGCAAUGAUAUUUGACAAUUGUAUCUUUUAUAUUAUUUAUUAUAAAUAAAGUCGAU